rnacentral:rRNA from 1 species
UACGGAGGGUGCAAGCGUUAUCCGGAUUCACUGGGUUUAAAGGGUGCGUAGGUGGGCUAGUAAGUCCGUGGUGAAAUCUCCAAGCUUAACUUGGAAACUGCAUUCGAUACUGCGGUGCUUGAGGACUGGAGAGGAGACUGGAAUUCAUGGUGUAGCAGUGAAAUGCGUAGAGAUCAUGAGGAAGACCAGUGGCGAAGGCGGGUCUCUGGACAGUUCCUGACACUGAGGCACGAAGGCCAGGGGAGCAAACGGG